rnacentral:lncRNA from 1 species
UGAACAUUGAAUCAGUUUGUGCUUAUGCUAAAACAAUGUCGGACUCCGUAAUUUUCUCUGGUCCCUUACCAAAUCUGACCAGUGAUGACAUGUAUAGCCGCAUGUCAUCAUUUAACCGCUGGCUAUCGAGGUGGUGUCCAGAAAACGAGGUGGGCUUCAUUGAUAAUUGGAGAUCCUUCUGGGGAAAACCGAACCUGAUAGGAAGAGAUGGAAUCCAUCCUACUUUGGAGGGAGCAUCUCUACUAUCAGAAAACAUGGCACAUUUAUGACAUCUCAUGAAUGAGACCAUGUUACAGAGGCGGAGUCCUCCACGCCCCUCUGCGCUUGCCUUAGGACAGUUUCCCUCCCAUUGCUAUCAGGAUAGCUGUGUUCAUCGCCAUGACAACUGUUGUGAUGGUGAUGAAUAUUAUUUUAUGGAGACGGUGUCUGUCCCCCGACCCAUAUUUCACAAUGAUUUUAACAUAAAAUCAAAUAAAAGAGCUAUCAAUUAUAAAAAUCUGAAAAAAAUUAAAAUCUCAAAUCUAGAAACACCAAAACAUAAAAGCAUUAGAUGUGCUCUAUUAAAUAUUAGAUCACUGAGAUCCAAAUCUCUACUAGUAAAUGACCUUAUCUCAGAAAAUAACUUUGAUUUAUUCUGUUUAACUGAAACAUGGCUGUAUCAAGAUGAAUAUGUUAGUUUAAAUGAAGCCACUCCUCCCAGUCAUUUAAAUACUCAUAUGCCACGAGACAUAGGCCGUGGAGGUGGUGUAGCAGCUAUUUAUCAUUCCUCUCUCCUAAUCUAUCCUAAACCAAAGGCCAACUACACUUCCUUUGAAAGCCUGGUUCUAAAUUUAUCUCAUAUCGAAUCAAAAACCUGCCAGCCAGUCUUAUUUGUGAUAAUUUACCGUCCUCCAGGCCCUUAUUCUGAAUUUCUAUCAGAAUUCUCUGAGUUUAUAUCAAACUUAGUCCUCAGUUCUGAUAAAAUACUGAUAGUAGGAGAUUUUAAUAUCCAUGUGGACAAAGAUAGUGAUAGCCUGAGCUCAGCCUUUAUGUCCCUAAUAGACUCAGUUGGCUUUUUUCAAACUAUUAAUGAAGCUACUCAUCGUUUAAAUCAUACUCUUGAUCUUGUUCUAACAUAU